rfam:Camelus ferus unplaced genomic scaffold scaffold1060, whole genome shotgun sequence.
GAAGGUAUAGCUCAAGUGGUAGAGUGCAUACUUAGCAUGCACGGAGUCCUGGGUUCAAUCCCCAGUACUUCCU